CUGAGGGAGCGGACACCACAGCCAGCUGCCUGAAGAUGAGCCUCUGAGUCCCCAACAUGCCGCCCUGUUCUGUACAUUGUCUCACCUGAGGUGUGGCUGUCCUGAAAGGUUUGAAGCCAGGCCCACUCUAAAAAGUAUCACCCCAACAUCUGCUUGGAGACCGUAUCCACAUUCUUGACAACUCAACUCUUCAUCUGCUUAAUAUGUAAUGCACAUCUGGACUCCAGACAAAUGAUAUAACAAGGACUUAAAGCCUAUCUUGAUGAAGAGACAGUUAUAACAGCUAUGUAGGAAAUAAACAAGGCGAAUUGUAUGUGACAGGACAGUCUGAAAUAGACAUCAUUCCAUACAGCAUUCCAUAUAUUAAAUGCUGAGUAGUCAAAAGUCACCCAAUGCCCAAACAUCAUUCUACUUUCAGCAGAUGACCACAUCCACUUAAUCAUAAACUGGAGUUCUUGAUAAUUUUAUUGCAUGUCUGCACUGUUUUGUAUUCAUAAUGCCAUUGUAGUAACACCUUGAUACAGGUGUGCCUACAGGCUAGGUGUUCCAGCAGGUUUAACAUCCUCAGUCAAAAAGCAUCAGAUGUUCACUUAAGCAUCUGCUUGGAGAAGUAUUUAGAAUUAACUACUAAGUGUUUGUAGAAGUAUUUGAAUUUUGGCCUUGUACUAAACUUUGCCACCCAACAUGCACGUUACUGGACAGGGUUGCAGUCCUUAGGAAGGGACAUUAAGCUGUAAUCACUGUUCACUGUGCUUGUAGAAAAGAGACAAUUUCUUUUGUUCAGUGAAUCUGUAAAUACUGUA